GUGCUUGCUUCUGCAGCACAUAUACUAAAAUUAGAAUGAUUCAGAGAUUAGCAUGUCCCCUGCACAAGGAUGACAUGCAAAUUAAUGAAGCAUUCCAUAUUUAA
ensembl:snRNA U6 U6 spliceosomal RNA